rnacentral:rRNA from 1 species
GGGAAACGGGUUAAUAUUCCCGUACUUGGUGUUACUGCGAAGGGGGGACGGAGAAGGCUAUGUUGGCCGGGCGACGGUUGUCCCGGUUUAAGCGUGUAGGUGUGUGUUCCAGGUAAAUCCGGUUCACUUUAACACUGAGGCGUGACGACGAGGCACUACGGUGCUGAAGCAACAAAUGCCCUGCUUCCAGGAAAAGCCUCUAAGCAUCAGGUAACAUCAAAUCGUACCCCAAACCGACACAGGUGGUCAGGUAGAGAAUACCAAGGCGCUUGAGAGAACUCGGGUGAAGGAACUAGGCAAAAUGGUGCCGUAACUUCGGGAGAAGGCACGCUGACAUGUAGGUGAAGUGAUUUACUCAUGGAGCUGAAGUCAGUCGAAGAUACCAGCUGGCUGCAACUGUUUAUUAAAAACACAGCACUGUGCAAACACGAAAGUGGACGUAUACGGUGUGACGCCUGCCCGGUGCCGGAAGGUUAAUUGAUGGGGUCAGCGCAAGCGAAGCUCCUGAUCGAAGCCCCGGUAAACGGCGGCCGUAACUAUAACGGUCCUAAGGUAGCGAAAUUCCUUGUCGGGUAAGUUCCGACCUGCACGAAUGGCGUAAUGAUGGCCAGGCUGUCUCCACCCGAGACUCAGUGAAAUUGAACUCGCUGUGAAGAUGCAGUGUACCCGCGGCAAGACGGAAAGACCCCGUGAACCUUUACUAUAGCUUGACACUGAACAUUGAGCCUUGAUGUGUAGGAUAGGUGGGAGGCUUUGAAGUGUGGACGCCAGUCUGCAUGGAGCCGACCUUGAAAUACCACCCUUUAAUGUUUGAUGUUCUAACGUGGACCCGUUAUCCGGGUUGCGGACAGUGUCUGGUGGGUAGUUUGACUGGGGCGGUCUCCUCCUAAAGAGUAACGGAGGAGCACGAAGGUUGGCUAAUCCUGGUCGGACAUCAGGAGGUUAGUGCAAUGGCAUAAGCCAGCUUGACUGCGAGCGUGACGGCGCGAGCAGGUGCGAAAGCAGGUCAUAGUGAUCCGGUGGUUCUGAAUGGAAGGGCCAUCGCUCAACGGAUAAAAGGUACUCCGGGGAUAACAGGCUGAUACCGCCCAAGAGUUCAUAUCGACGGCGGUGUUUGGCACCUCGAUGUCGGCUCAUCACAUCCUGGGGCUGAAGUAGGUCCCAAGGGUA